AAGAUCAUACUUCAACAGGAUCAUUUCUGUAGUGUGAUACGUGCGAAAUAUCGCCUAAAUGUAAAGUCGACACGCGGUCACGAUGAUGACUAUCAUGGCGUUUCUUCCUUAGCGCGAAAUUUGCGUAAGCGCCAUUUUUCCUCUACCUCUUGCUGCCUUGCUGUGCGGAAGGAUAUGGAAAAUGGGUGUU